AGAGUUUGAUCCUGGCUCAGAACGAACGCUGGCGGCGUGGCUAAGGCAUGCAAGUCGAGCGAACCAAUUUUGAGGGUAACUGAGAGAUUGGUUAGCGGCGGACGGGUGAGGAAUACAUGGGUAACGUGCCCCGGACUCAGGGAUAGCGUUUUGAAAAGAACGGUAAUACCUGAUGACCCCGUAGGAUCGCAUGAUCCAGCGGGCAAAGUUCCGGCGGUCUGGGAGCGGCUCAUGUCCUAUCAGCUAGUUGGCGGGGUAACGGCCCACCAAGGCUGCAACGGGUACCGGGCGUGAGAGCGCGACCCGGCACAUCGGAACUGAGAUACGGUCCGGACACCUACGGGUGGCUGCAGCAACGAAUAUUCCGCAAUGGACGAAAGUCUGACGGAGCGACGCCGCGUGCAGGAUGAAGUCCCUCGGGAUGUAAACUGCUGUCAGGGGUUAGGAAAUUUGACCAGCCCCAGAGGAAGCCACGGCUAACUCCGUGCCAGCAGCCGCGGUAAUACGGAGGUGGCAAGCGUUGUUCGGAAUUACUGGGCUUAAAGCGCGUGUAGGCGGGACGGAAAGUGUCGGGUGAAAGCCCUUGGCUCAACCAAGGAACUGCUUAGCAUACUUCCGUUCUUGAGGUAGGUAGAGGUCGCUAGAACGACGGGUGGAGCGGUGAAAUGCGUAGAUAUCCGUUGGAACGCCGGUGGCGAAAGCGGGCGACUGGACCUAUCCUGACGCUGAGACGCGAAAGCGUGGGGAGCAAACAGGAUUAGAUACCCUGGUAGUCC
rnacentral:rRNA from 1 species